rnacentral:rRNA from 1 species
ACGGCGGUGUUUGGCACCUCGAUGUCGGCUCAUCACAUCCUGGGGCUGAAGUAGGUCCCAAGGGUAUGGCUGUUCGCCAUUUAAAGUGGUACGCGAGCUGGGUUUAGAACGUCGUGAGACAGUUCGGUCCCUAUCUGCCGUGGGCGCUGGAGAACUGAGGGGGGCUGCUCCUAGUACGAGAGGACCGGAGUGGACGCAUCACUGGUGUUCGGGUUGUCAUGCCAAUGGCACUGCCCGGUAGCUAAAUGCGGAAGAGAUAAGUGCUGAAAGCAUCUAAGCACGAAACUUGCCCCGAGAUGAGUUCUCCCUGACUCCUUGAGAGUCCUGAAGGAACGUUGAAGACGACGACGUUGAUAGGCCGGAUGUGUAAGCGCAGCGAUGCGUUGAGCUAACCGGUACUAAUGAACCGUGAGGCUUAACCUUACAACGCCGAAGCUGUU